rnacentral:SRP_RNA from 1 species
GCCGGGCGUGGUGGCGCGUGCCUGUAUAGUCCCAGCUACUCAGGAGGCUGAGGUGGGAGGAUUGCUUGAGCCCGGGAAUUCUGGGCUGUAGUGCGCCAUGCUGAUCGUUUGUCCACACUAAGUUCGGCAUCAAUAUGGUGAGCUCCUGGGAGCGGGGGAUCACCAGGUUUCCUAAGGAGGGGUGAACCGGCCCAGGUGGGAAACGGAGCAGGUCAAAACUGCUGUGCUGAUUAGUAGUGGGCUUGCGCCUGUGAAUAGCCACUGCACUCCAGCCUGGGUAACAUAGUGUCUCU